GAUGAACGCUGGCGGCGUGCCUAAUACAUGCAAGUCGAGCGAGAAUCUUGUUUUACUAUACUUCGGUAGAACAAAACGAGAUGAGAGCGGCGGACGGGUGAGUAACGCGUAGGCAACCUGCCCUUAGCAGAGGGAUAGCCAUUGGAAACGAUGAUUAAGACCUCAUAACGUAGUGUCAACACAUGUUGAUACGACCAAAGAUUAAUCGGCUAAGGAUGGGCCUGCGUCUGAUUAACUAGUUGGUGGGGUAACGGCCUACCAAGGUAACGAUCAGUAGCCGACCUGAGAGGGUGAUCGGCCACAUUGGAACUGAGACACGGUCCAAACUUUUACGGAAGGCAGCAAUAAGGAAUCUUGCACAAUGGGGGAAACCCUGAUGCAGCAACGCCGCGUGAACGAAGAAGGCCUUCGGGUUGUAAAGUUCUGAUCUUGGGGAAGAAACAAAUGACGGUACCCAAGGAGAAAGCCCCG
rnacentral:rRNA from 1 species